AUUUCCCCCAAGGCGCCAUGACGCGUUACAGAGCUGCCUGUGGGAGUGACAGACGGGGGAGCUUACACUAGCUGAAGGGGCUAGUACGAACCCCUGGCACCCAAGAUUUCCUCUGAAAUUGUAAGUGAUUGAAUUUAACCUAAAGACCCUCUACCUUCACUAUGCCUAUAAGGGCCCAGCUGCAAGAGAGAAAGAGAAUGAGGCAUUGAGAGCAAGAGGAGUUCUACAUCUACAUCAUACUGGAAGUUACCAUAACGUUGAAUAUGACAUGCUGUUGUUGUUCCACAUUGGCCUCUUCCUCAUCCUCCUCAUCUUCUGCAGUGACAGUUCCCCUUUAUAUCUGGCGGCAAGGCCUCACCCUGAGGCAGGAAACAAUGGCUUUAUAUUUCCAUCAGCCUUACCUCAGUGUUUUGCUGCUGGUGCAAGAUGUUACACAGCUUGGCACCCAUCUUGAAUCUCCUGUAUCAGGAAAGAAAGAUUAGAUCUGGUUAAACUGUCUAUGGAAGAUAAAGGCAAAGGAUCACAGGGGCAUGAUGGGAAAGAGACAGCUUCCCACAUUUGAAUCCUCAGUGAGAAGGAGCCAUGUGAGCGAGGGUUUGAUGCUCGGGCCGUGCAGCACUGUAUCUGCAGCAGAGGAGGAGUUCAGUGCAACACAGAGGAACACCCCUUGCACCUUGGUACCUCACUCAUCAGAACCAGUGAAGUGAUUUACUUUAAUAUUUUGCUCACAUAG